rnacentral:rRNA from 2 species
ACGGGGUGCAGCAGGCGCGAAAACUUUGCAAUGUGCGAAAGCACGACAAGGUUAAUCCGAGUGGUUUCUGCUAAAGAAACCUUUUGUCAGUCCUAGAAACACUGAUGAAUAAGGGGUGGGCAAGUUCUGGUGUCAGCCGCCGCGGUAAAACCAGCACCUCAAGUGGUCAGGAGGUUUAUUGGGCCUAAAGCAUCCGUAGCCGGUUGCAUAAGUUUUCGGUUAAAUCUAUGCGCUUAACGUAUAGGCCGCCGAAAAUACUGUGCAGCUAGGGAGUGGGAGAGGUACACGGUACUCAAUAGGAAGGGGUAAAAUUCUUUGAUCUAUUGAUGACCACCUGUGGCGAAGGCGGUGUGCCUGAACACGUUCGACGGUGAGGGAUGAAAGCUGGGGGAGCAAACCGGAUUAGAUACCCGGGUAGUCCCAGCUGUAAACUAUGCAAACUCAGUGAUGCAUUGGCUUGUGGCCAAUGCAGUGCUGCAGGGAAGCCGUUAAGUUUGCCGCCUGGGAAGUACGUACGCAAGUAUGAAACUUAAAGGAAUUGGCGGGGGAGCAC